rnacentral:lncRNA from 12 species
AUGCAAAGCCAUUCCGGCCUCUCCCUAUCUCUCCUCAGUGUGAACCCUGUCCUUCCCUCCGCAUGCAGCACCUCCCUAACACCCCUGCCCCAGGCCCUGGGAGCAGCUGCGGUGACCUCACCCAGCCCUGCCCUGGGCCCAGCUCUGGGGAGGGCCCAGCAGCUGUGCCCCAGCCCUGUAGGCUGGCUCCUGGGGGAAAGAGGAAGAGUGGGCACAGCGCCAAGAGAACCAUCUGCUCUCCCGGGGGCAUGGCCACCAGCACAGACACUGGCCUCACCCCCAGGGGCUGCCCUUGGCCCUCUAUCCCCAUGCCAAGGGGCUCCAGGAGCCCAAGGCAGCCCACCCAGACCGGGGCACCAGCCCUCAUCUGCCAUCUGUCUUCUGGAUACUGAGAGGUCCUUGCAGGACAUGUUGGAGCAUGAACGUCCGCUGAAAAAUGAACAAGUGCUCAGGGAAGGAGGCAUAUGUGUUUGCUGGGGGCUGCUGCAACAGAGCACCGCGGGGGCUUCAAAGGACAGUCUGAAAUCAAGGUGUCGGCAGGGCCAAGCUCUCUGAAGGCUCUAGAGGAAAAUCCCUGGUCACCUCUUCCCGUUUCUGGUCACCACCCGCCAGCCUGGGGUUCCUGGCCUUGUGGACACAUCGCUUCAGUGUCUGCCUCCUUCUCCAAGUGGAGCUCUCGCCUGUCUCUUCCCCGGGUCUCCGUGGGGCACUCUCUCAGCACCUCUCUUCUCCUAAAGCCAGCCACCCUGGAUUGAGGGUUCACCCUUCUCCACUAUGACCUAAUCUUAACGAACUGCAUCGGCAACGCCUUUGUUUCUAAAGCAGGUCACAUUUUUGAGGCUCUAGAAAGAGAAUGACUUUUUAGGGGGUGCCCUGGGGGGCAUGUUUCAACCUAGUACAGAGGCGUAAUGGAAAAGCCGUAGGAGUUGGAGACAGGCGGCACCAGGUUUGCGUUCUGCCUCCCUCACUAAGAAGCUGUUUGACUUUGGACUUCUCUGCGUCUUGUUUCUUAGCCUGUGAAGUGAGGACAACAGCCCUGACCUCCCAGAGAUGUGCAAAGGAAAUGACACAGUGAGGACUUGACAGCAGAGCCCAGCAGAGGAAUACCUAGCGUCUCACUGUGGCCUCGUGCCCUGCCCAGCCCGGCCCUGCCCGGUCCUGUCCUGCCCUGUCCUGCCCAUGUGACCUCUCCUCUGGAAUGUCCUGACCCCGGCCUGUCAUCUCCCCGAUCCAGUGACGCUCUCAGAAUGUUGGGCGGCAAGCUUCUGCCACUGGCCCUGCUCUCAGCUAAGUCACUUCUCCAUUCCUCAGGGGCUCCGUCUGCUGAUUAGGCAAAUGGAUGGGAGGCUUGGAGCAGAUGAUCUCGAAGAUUCAGUCUGAGGCUGACGUUCACAGAGCCCUGAGACCUCCUUGCAAAAUACUAAAGUCGUUUGGAAUUCCAGAGCCAUGACUCUUAGGGGAAGGAGUCCUGCAAAAGGGAGUGAGGUGUCUAGGAGAAGGCUGCCUCUUCCAGUCCCCUACCCCCAGCGCUCCCCACCCUACGGCCCAGCAGGCCCCAGAGGCAGCAGGCUAUCCCGAGCUGGUGAGCCUGGGUCUGUGAGGACCCAACGCCCAGGGGUUGCUGCUUCUCCCCUCGGCAGUCCCAGCCCCAGUACUGGUGAGGGAGGCAGCCAAUACCAGCCCCAUCAAGGACAUGCUCUGCGACCCCGGACUGGUCACCAACCUCAGUUUCCCCAUGUGCAAAAUGGAGAUCUCCACACCUAACCCCAGAGCAGGCAGGACAAUGAAGGAAGAGAAGUUGGGGAGAAGGAGUGGUGCAGCCUCCAAGGAAUUUCUCAGGGCGUGCUUUCUCCAAGGCUCACAGCUUCGCCUGCCCCUGUGUCUGCUCUUGGUCUCCAGACCCCACAGCCUGAGGGCCUGGGGUAGGAGGGGCAGUGGGCUUCUGGCCAAUGAGGACCAUUGGAGCAUCUGGGAAGGGGUGAGGAGGCUCUCCGUGAUGGGGGGCCUGCCCUGCACCAGCGCUUGUUCCAUCCCCAAAGGCACCCUCAGAAUCUCAACAUAGUCCCAUUCUGCAGGUGAGGAAACAAGGCAUCUGCCAAGGAAACUGAGGCAGGAUCUGCUGAAGAAGGCUCACAGGGCUGCGAUGAGAUCGAUGACAAUAAUAAAUACAAUAAUAAUACUCA